AGCCGGCCAGCUUGCUGUAGCUCUUAAGCUAGCUCAACAGUUCAAGCUAAACAUUGCUCUCCAACAAGGGGGGGCUCCAGCCCCUGGAGCCACCCCACUUCGUACGCCACUGAUAAAUUUAAGUGUGAAUAGUCACCCUCUUACAGAUAUUAGUGGGUGUUGCAUAUAAUGUUUACAGAUCACCUCCAAUUAAUUGAUCAUGACCAACCAUGCAAAAGAUGCCUCGAAACUGAGAGGAACGUUGAGGAGCUGAGUGAAGAAAAUAAACGUCUCAGAAAAGAAAUGAAGUGUGAGGAGAAUGAAGUAGGAAAAAGACUGAAGGAACCGAGGGAAAUUGUGACCUACGCCCUGAGGCAGUCAAGCAAGAUCACCUCCAGUUAUCAGCAACACUUCGCCUCGGCUGUUGAACUGACCAACCAAAAGAUCUGAUUUGAUUUCGAAACAACAGAAGACCUGUUGAAUUAUCGAGUUCUGGAUUCUAAGAAAAGAAGUCUCGAGGCUGAGAGGAAAUUUGAGGAGCUCAGUGAAGAAAACAGAAAUGUUUAUUAUGACGAAACGAUUCAAAUGAUCACAACUCAGAUAUGAGAUGUCAAAGUGUAAAAACAUUUUUGUUAACUUUCUUGUUUGUAUCCUAUUCAUCUCAUCCACUGUGCAUUCAGUAUUCCACUUGUGUGUAUAGUGUGUAUAGUGUAUACUUAUUUGCUAAGGA